AAUAAAUCAGCAAGAUUAUAUGCCGAAGCAUAUUACUUAUUUGUUGUUGCGGCGAGACAUUAUGAGAUAUUACGGCAAAAAUAAAUCCCCACAAAUAGUUUUAAAUAUUAAACGCCACAUUUACCCCUUAUUUCUUUCUUCCCCAGCCGAUACCCACUUUCCCCUUUUUAGAUUCUCCAUCAGUGUCUCUCUUCACAGCACAAGGCGACCAACCACGCCACCCUCCCUGGUAACCUCUCCCUUCGAUGGCCUCCCUCCUACGACCUCCCUCCCUUCCCCUCUCUGUAUCUCUCUCUAUUUCACUCUCUCUCUUUGUUUCGAACCCUUAUUUUCUGUUCCCAAUUAUUUCUUCUCCUCCCAACAGCAAUACACAGAUUAAAAUGGAGAAUGGUAAUGAGGGAUUAGCUUCUCUCGUUGUCUUUAAUUCAUCGGACACCAAACAACCAACCCAGUCAUUUCAGACGCAGGGAAAUAAACUCGUCGAGGCUUUGUUUUGAAGACCAUUAGUCCCAGAAGAGAGUCCUUCCAUCUGACUUGAAAUGGCUGGCUUAAACUGGGUCUUGUGGAUUAAAGGAAGAUCUCCAAUUAUUUAGCAGACCAGUUCAGUGAUAUGUGAAUUUGGUUUUAUGAUUAUAAAGUUGUGUUAUUUAUUGUGUUGAACUCAAGUGUUAGAUGGAUAAAAUAUUUACAUUAGUGUUGGAUUGGAUUACAUGGGCAGCAAGGUUUUCUUGUAAAUAUGUUAGUAGAAUUAACUAGUCUUUUAGGAAGUGUUAUUAGUGUCAAUUUGAAUCUUGGAGGUUUGUAUAUAAUUUUUUUAGCUUAUAUUAGACAAUUUUUUUAUGCUCA